AGAUGACUUCCCUUAAGAAAAAGGUCAGGCUAGCCAACUCCAAAAAGGUUAGGCCAGAUGGUUGUUUUUUUUCUUUCUUUUUUUCCUUCCAAUUUAGCUUCUUAUUUUUGGUUGUUGGAUGUGAUUGAUGUAAUAUAUUGCAAAUCUUAGAGGAUGUUGAGAAGAGGUUGAGAGAGCUUAUGAGGAGGUUAGCAUCCUAUGAGAAAAGGCGGCC
rnacentral:lncRNA from 1 species